rnacentral:rRNA from 1 species
CCUACGGGAGGCAGCAGUGAGGAAUAUUGGUCAAUGGCCGUAAGGCUGAACCAGCCAAGUCGCGUGAAGGAAGAAGGAUCUAUGGUUUGUAAACUUCUUUUAUAGGGGAAUAAAGGUAUCCACGUGUGGAUAUUUGCAUGUACCCUAUGAAUAAGCAUAGGCUAACUACGUGCCAGCAGCCGCGGUAAUACGGAGGAUGCGAGCGUUAUCCGGAUUUAUUGGGUUUAAAGGGUGCGUAGGUUGUUUUUUAAGUCAGCGGUGAAAGUUUGUGGCUCAACCAUAAAAUUGCCGUUGAUACUGGCAGACUUGAGUGUGUUUGAGGUAGGCGGAAUUCGUUGUGUAGCGGUGAAAUGCAUAGAUAUCACGCAGAACUCCGAUUGCGAAGGCAGCUUACUAAGCCAUAACUGACACUGAAGCACGAAAGCGUGGGGAUCAAACAGGAUUAGAUACCCGUGUAGUC